rnacentral:misc_RNA from 1 species
UUUAACCAAAUUUCAACUAAAAUGCAUAAAUUUCGACCAGAACAUUUGGAAUUCAACCACAACGCAUGGCAGUUCAACAAUUAAAAUAUAAAUCCAGCAAUUCUAACAAUCCAAAAAUACAAAACCUAACAAUUUCAACAAUAAGCAUACAUUCAAGCAAAACCCAACAAGGUGACCUAACUCUGCCUAUAAAUAAUGGCCGACGAGGAUUUGAUGGAGACAAUACGAAAUCUUAAUAUGUUGAUGGAGGAGUAAAAGAGAUGGUUGAAUGGAGACAAACCAAAUGUUGAAGUGUUGAAUCUACCCAGAAACAUCGAAUUUGUAUGUGUUGAACCUCGAGCUUGAAGACGUGAAAUGGGAGACGUAGGCUGAAGAUACGAGAGACUUGUAGAGUAGAGGGAAUCUUCUUCAAUGACUUAAGGAGAGAAAAGAAACAGUUGGAAAAUAGAGGCCAUUCAAGAAGAGAAACAGAGGAACCAUUCUUCUAUCCCUCAAAACUAGGCUAAAAUGAAAUAUUUAUCAAAAUUACAAAUCUUGCUGCCCAAAGCUGCUAAACAUCAUCAGAAGUAGAGAGAGGCUGACCAAAAAAAAGAGAGAAAAGAUGCCUAGGUGGUUCGAUCCGUGGCCCGUCUUCUUCAAGCGAGAGUUCAAUAGGAACUGGCCGUUCCUGGUCGGCUUUGCCGUAACUGGAGCCCUCAUCACCAAGUUCUCUCUUGGCCUUACAGAGGAGGAUGCGAAAAAUUCACCUUUCGUCCAGAGGCACAAGAGGUGAAUUGGAAACCCAAUAAAGUUAUCAGCAAUGCGCACAUUGCAGGAAAGGAAACAGAUUUGCUCUGUUUUCUUGGUCUAUAAACUCUAAUAACAGGAGAGAUGUUAUAGAUACUCCAAAUAUUUUUUUUUCUAUCAGAAGUUGCUUUUUCAAUAACAUUUAGCACCUUUAUUCAAUGUCUGUCUACCUGUUGUGGUUGAAUUGAUCAUCUUUUGGGUUGGCGUGUGAGGGAGGAUGGAAAAUCAGAUGGUUUGAUAUUUUGCUUUUGUGAGAAUUUGUCAUUUGGAAUUACAAUGUUUUGAAUCACUUUGGCAUGACCUUGUGAAGCACAAAACAUUAACCCUUAAAGAGGCUAUGUAAUAUUUCAUCUUAAAUUAUCAAGAGAUCUGUAAUUUUACUGUAAUCCAAUUUUUUUGAAGCCUUUAAAGCACCAGUCACACUAUGAUUGUUCGGGGACUCUGAAUUUUGUAGACAAAAUCAUACCCUUUUAGGUAUUCCUAAUAUGAUGUAAGCUCUUUGCCUCUCUUUAUUUGGUCUCCAUUUUGUUCUUGCCAUCUUCAUUAAGGUAUUGCAGCCUUUUUAGGAGCUUGUUUGACAUUGUUGUUUGAGUUUCUAUUGAGAAAAUAAUAUUUUUUUUCAAUGGGGUUUCUUAAAAAGUAAAUUUAAAACACGAUGCCUCAGUGUGAAACAAGUUUAGUGAGUUCUUUGGGUUAGCCACCUCUGUUCUUCGAGGAGAUCUAAGCUGUUUCUCUGCGGUGGUUGGUUGCAUUCUAGUUUGUCAUAUGGAGCUCUGCUAUCCAGCCGACUAGCUUUCAGCGGUCUUUGACGGCACUUUCCAGUCUGAUUUGCGAAUUGCUCUCAGCUUUCAAGCGGCCACAGAGGAGCUUAAUCAAGUGGGCCAUUCUUUUUUCAGUAAAAAAAAAAAAAAUUCCUUAAUUGAGGCGUGGAAUCUGAGUGCCUCAUAACAUAGUGUUUUGUUUGCUUUUUGUAAUGAUGCUGAAAUUGGUUCCAGAUGCCAAUUUGUAAUAUGUAAAUGAUUUUAAGAAUUGCCCGAGGCCCUUGUAAUGCUUUGGUAGCA